rnacentral:lncRNA from 1 species
UAAAAAUGCAGCUUUGGUCUUAAGGAAAGUUGCUCCUGCAGAUUCUGGGGAAUACAAGUGUUUAAUUAGAGCCAAAGCUGGAGGAAUGAACUGUCAAAAUCGGGUUAGACUUAAUAUCUCAGGUUGUGUGUCAACAACUUCACCCAUCAUCUUUGAUUUCUCCACCAAAUUUAUUAAUGGAUCAUGGCCAAACAUUAGCAUCUCAUUGCCUCACGUGGAUGACGAUUCAGUGCUUUAUGUCCUGUGGGGUUGUGUAGGACUCGCUGUGAGUAAACUUAUCCUCAGUGCCGUUUCCAUAUGCGUAAGUAUUUCUAAAUGCAGCUGAUUUAUCUCAUAUCUUCUGAGCAUUUUAUUUGAAUUAUUAGAAGUUAUGGUAUAGGUUCAGCAAAGCAUUAGAUGUAGCUAAACACAGACAGGGAAGUAACAAGUUUAAAUGACAAAUGCUCUUAAAGAGAACACUGAGGAGUAAUUGCAAAAAUUGACUCUGGAAGUCUGAUCCUAGCAGUUAUUGUGAAAAACAAUUUCUAAGCUAUAAAAGUAAUUACAUACUUCUGUUCUCAGGUUUUCAAGAAGCUCCGAAAACUUAAAAGAAGAAGACAGACUUAAGACCAACCACUGUUUAUCAGCACCUUGUUUGUUUGCAGAGUUUACUCGCCAUACCUUAUAUGGACAUUCCUUACAUUCUGCAAACUUGUGUAAAAGACCAUUGGAUGGUUUAGUAAUUUAACAUUUUAAUAAUUAAUCUGUGAAUUUACCUAUGAAUUAUGAUAAUCUGAGGAACUGAUACUUUAUAUCUGUUAUAUUUAUUUCCAAAAUGGCAUUGCUGUCAUAAGGGCGGGUCAUGGCAGAACAUUUUCUUAAACUUUGAAAUUAUUUUUGGAGGAACUAUGCAGAUUGAAAACUGUUCUGAUGCAUGAUCCACAUUUAAUACACUGCAAAAGAACAAAUUUCUCUUCAUUAUGGAUCUGUCUUACCAGUGUUAUUCUAGUAUUAUUUAUAUACAUUUAUAGUAUUCAGCAUUUUGUAUUUAUUUUAAUUUACUAAAGCAAAUUGUAAUAGUUUUACAAAUAUUCAAACAAAUAUGCAUUUGUGUCACUGCUUUAAAUUGGCCAGUAAUAAGGUUAAAUGACCUAUAGUUUAAGCUUUUAUAAAUGUGUUGGAUUCUCUUUGUGUGUGGGUGUUGUGUGUGAAAAUUGGUUUGCUCCAUGCAAAUUCUCAGAAAAAUAGGUAUAAUGUGCUUUUGCCCAUGAAGUGUAUUCCAGAUUAUGACUAAGAUUAAGGAUAAUAACUUAAUGCAAAGAGACAGUUUGAGACAGCCAUCAUGAAACUGUACUGAUACUCUACAGGUGCAUCUCAAUAAAUUAGAAUGUCGUGGAAAAGUUCAUUUAUUUCAGUAAUUCAACUCAAAUUGUGAAACUCGUGUAUUAAAUAAAUUCAAUGCACACAG